rnacentral:rRNA from 1 species
AAUGAACGCUGGCGGCAUGCCUAACACAUGCAAGUCGAACGAGACCUUCGGGUCUAGUGGCGCACGGGUGCGUAACGCGUGGGAAUCUGCCCCUUGGUUCGGAAUAACUCAGAGAAAUUUGAGCUAAUACCGGAUAAUGACGUAAGUCCAAAGAUUUAUCGCCUAGGGAUGAGCCCGCGUAGGAUUAGCUAGUUGGUGGGGUAAAAGCCUACCAAGGCGACGAUCCUUAGCUGGUCGAGAGGAUGAUCAGCCACACUGGGACUGAGACACGGCCCAGACUCCUACGGGAGGCAGCAGUGGGGAAUAUUGGACAAUGGGCGAAAGCCUGAUCCAGCAAUGCCGCGUGAGUGAUGAAGGCCUUAGGGUUGUAAAGCUCUUUUACCCGGGAAGAUAAUGACUGUACCGGGAGAAUAAGCCCCGGCUAACUCC